rnacentral:rRNA from 1 species
AUGGGGAAGUACGUGGAGCUGCUGGACAUGGGGGUGCGCAUCGCCGCGCGGUUCCACUCCCACUGCCCGCAGACGGCCCGGAUGUACUACCACCCUCCCGCCUCCUCCUCGGCCGCCCCCGGCGCCGGCGACGCCGGCGGGAUGGUGCCCGGCGAAGGAGGCGCCGUGGCCAUGGCCAUGAUGAAGAGGCAGCAGCGGGCCGCCAUCGACGCCACGGAGAUUAUUCUCUACACCGUCGUCUAG